rnacentral:rRNA from 1 species
UCCUGGCUUAGGAUGAACGCUGGCGGCGUGCUUAACACAUGCAAGUCGAACGGAGUUUUAACGGAAGUUUCGGAUGGAAGUUAGAACUUAGUGGCGGACGGGUGAGUAACGCGUGGGUAACCUGCCUCAUACAGGGGGGAUAACAGUUAGAAAUGACUGCUAACACCGCAUAAUAUAGCGAAACCGCAUGAUUUUGCUAUCAAAUAUUUAUAGGUAUGAGAUGGGCCCGCGUCUGAUUAGCUAGUUGGUGGGGUAAAGGCCUACCAAGGCGACGAUCAGUAGCCGGCUUGAGAGAGUGACCGGCCACAUUGGGACUGAGACACGGCCCAAACUCCUACGGGAGGCAGCAGUGGGGAAUAUUGGACAAUGGGGGAAACCCUGAUCCAGCGAACCGCCGCGUGAGUGAAGAAGUAUUUCGGUAUGUAAAGCUCUAUCAGCAGGGAAGAUAAUGACAGUACCUGACUAAGAAGCCCCGGCUAACUACGUGCCAGCAGCCGC